rnacentral:rRNA from 1 species
UUGUUAAGUCGGCUACUUGGGGAGUACGUCGCAAGGAUGAAACUUAAAGGAAUUGGCGGGGGAGCACCGCAACGGGAGGAGCGUGCGGUUUAAUUGGAUUCAACACCGGAAAACUCACCAAGGGCGACUAUCACAUGAAAGCCAGGCUAACGACCUUGCUUGAUUCUUAGAGAGGUGGUGCAUGGCCGUCGUCAGUUCGUACCGUAAGGCGUUCUCUUAAGUGAGAUAACGAACGAGACCCUCAUCUAUAAUUGCUACUUCACCCUCCGGGGUGGAGGCACAUAAUCGAGAAAAGAAGGCGCUAAGUCAGAGGAAGGAGAGGUCAACGGUAGGUCAGUAUGCCCCGAAUCUCUUGGGCUACACACGCGCUACAAAGGGCGGGACAAUGGGCUACGACGCCGAAAGGCGAAGUCAAUCUCGAAACCCGUCCGUAGUUCGGAUUGAGGCUUGUAACUCAGCCUCAUGAAGCUGGAUUCCGUAGUAAUCGCGAAUCAAAAACUCGCGGUGAAUAU